rnacentral:lncRNA from 1 species
GGAAUGUGUAGGUGUGCGAGGGUGUAUAUAAUCUCUUGUAACCUGCUCUCUCAAGACACUCUCCUCCUGCUGCUGCCGCUGGCUCCUCCUUGACACACUCCUUCCAGAGACAUGGCCUCCCACACCUGGUGUCUGCUGCUGGUGGCGCUGCUGGUGGUGAUGUUGGUGACCGUACCCGCAGCCGCAGCUCCGCAGGGCUUCACAGGCGGCAACUUCCUGCGUCCCAACCCCUUCCUGCAGGGAAACGUCUGGGGAAGAACUUGGCUUGAUAACAGCUUCGAGGUCGAUAGUCCUGGAUAUGACAGCCCCGAGUGGUUCGGACUGGCGUACUCCGGCUAGACCAGGCCAGCUUCCACAGGCCGCUACAGGCUGCAUCAAGCCGCUACAGGUAGCUACAGGCCGCCACAAGAAGGAAACUAAUAAAUGCUACGGGGUCUUACAAUCAGACAAUAAUAAAAUAUCUGAAAUGUUUGCCACCUUUUCAUCCUGUGUUUUGGUGUUGUGUAAUACAUGAGGCUAUUAAGGCCACAACCAUGGCUUACUGACCACCCAGCAAGUAUACUGUAGUCCUGAACAUAGUCCAGGACUAAACUAAACUCUCAAGUGUAUAUUCACCGAGAAGUGGUGUAUACCUCUCAGUGUAUACUGUAUGUCCCUUUUGAACUGAUACAAUGAUCUUUAUUUUUCUAAUGUCUUCCUUCUCUAUAAUAUAUGUUUCUGCAAUUUAUUUAUAUUAAAAUGUAUUCGCUGUUCCA